UAUCCUCCUCUGCCGCCGCCGCCGCAGCGCCGCCCGCACGCCAUCCCUACUGCUGGACUCCAUAGGAGCGGAGGUCUUCCUAUUCCUCUCGGCAGGCCGCGGCCAGUUCUGGGCAGGUGGUCAGGCGCCGUCUCUGUUUUGCGGCAAUGGCCCAAGCGCAGACGCGGGAGGCACAAGGCGGCGCUGUCGGCGGAGCCAGGAGAAGCCGCGGCGCCAACUAAUUCCUAUUCCUGGCUCCAUGGGGAGCAGCGGUAAGGCGGUGUUCCUGUGCAGUUCAUGGCCUCUGUCUCUAUGGUGUACGUACAUGAAGAAGUCUGCCUAUUUGAAUAGAGGGGACCCACAUUGCCAGAUCCAAUCGUGAACAAAGAUUAACCACUGUAGUAUUGUGAGUGGAUAUAUAGGAGUGACACUGACAUGCUUAUCGCCUCCGGAUAUUCUCUGUUGUGCACAAUCAUUUUGACCUGUGCCGGCCAGAUGGGUUUACAGAUAGAGUGCAAAUUGCUGAACUUUUUGACCUGCUCUUUGUAUGCAACGCCCAUGUCUAAUGGUGUGUACCAAGUAAGAAUUCUUAUUCGAGAUGUACAUAGAGUGCAAAUUGCUUAUUUCAGACAGAUAUACUCCCUCCGUUCGGAAUUACUUGUCUCGGAAAUGGAUGUAUCUAGAACUAAAAUACAUCUAGAUACAUCUAUUUUUGCGACAACUAAUUCCGAACGGAGGGAGUACAUAAAUGCUCUGUUUUCUAGGGAGGGAGAAGAACGCACUUGGACUUGGGAGGAUCUAAGACUCAGCUCAGGACAAUAUUCUAGUUUCUGUGUCUUCUGUCAUUGGUUUCUAUAGGAUGGUUCUCAACACUCAACAGGCAAGAAUCUUCCCCUUCACUCAAUAUUUAUUUAUAUUCAACUUAGUUUAGUAACACAUUACAUAGUUGAUAGCUAAACCAGAAAGGUUCACUGUUAAUCGUGCAGCCAUCUACGAUUUUGUAUCGUGCUUUGACUUGCAGGGGAUGGAGUGGCUGAUACCCAUGUGCAAUUGCGGGGCUUGGGAUUCCUCUGAAGAACAGAGUUGUGUGCCUGACAAGUGAUUCAGAACAGAGUUCCUACGGGGAACAACUUCAGAAAAUGGCAAUAGCAGGAGCUCUGCAUUUUCAUUAUAGCAGGGGAGACGAAAACAAGUUACAAGUUUGUAUGUUCCAAGAGAACUGAACAGCCCAGAGAAACAACUCUGGAAGAGAAUCAGGAUUAAUCAGCGCAGCAUUGUGAGUGGAUUAGGAGUGACAUUGCCAUGGUUUAUCGCUUCAAAAUAUCCUCUGCAGGCCAUAAUUUGGACAUUUGCCGGAUGAAUUUAUAAAUACAGAGUUAGCCUGCGGAUGCAAAUUAUUGAAUAUUUGGACCUGCUCUUCGUAUGAGAUGCUCACAUCUAACAUUGUUGACCAGCACGUGCGUGGAUAGCACGUAGCAGCAAAAGUGGAGGAAAACAAAUGAGCUCAGGGAUCAACCGGCAAAGAAAAGCAGUCGCAUUCAAGUCCUGAGUAAAGGUAUGUACGUACUAAUGCGUAGCUACUAGCCAGGUUGUCCAGAGGAUACCAGCAUUCAAGAUAUCUUUGCUCUGCACUUGGAUGUUGCAGGCAGACGAA